rnacentral:rRNA from 1 species
GAUGAACGCUGGCGGCGUGCUUAACACAUGCAAGUCGAACGAUGAAGCCCAGCUUGCUGGGUGGAUUAGUGGCGAACGGGUGAGUAACACGUGAGUAACCUGCCCUUAACUCUGGGAUAAGCCUGGGAAACUGGGUCUAAUACCGGAUAGGAGCGUCCACCGCAUGGUGGGUGUUGGAAAGAUUUAUCGGUUUUGGAUGGACUCGCGGCCUAUCAGCUUGUUGGUGAGGUAAUGGCUCACCGAGGCGACGACGGGUAGCCGGCCUGAGAGGGUGACCGGCCACACUGGGACUGAGACACGGCCCAGACUCCUACGGGAGGCAGCAGUGGGGAAUAUUGCACAAUGGGCGCAAGCCUGAUGCAGCGACGCCGCGUGAGGGAUGACGGCCUUCGGGUUGUAAACCUCUUUCAGUAGGGAAGAAGCGAAAGUGACGGUACCUGCAGAAGAAGCACCGGCUAACUACGUG